UACGGAGGGUGCAAGCGUUGCUCGGAUUUAUUGGGCGUAAAGGGCAGGUAGGUGGUCUCGUUUGUCUGGGGUGAAAGCCUUGAGCUUAACUCAGGAAGUGCCCCAGAAACGGCGAGACUAGAGUCCUAGAGAGGGUCGUGGAAUUCCCGGUGUAGCGGUGAAAUGCGUAGAGAUCGGGAGGAACACCAGAGGCGAAGGCGGCGACCUGGAUAGGUACUGACACUCAACUGCGAAAGCGUGGGGAGCAAACAGG
rnacentral:rRNA from 1 species